GACGAACGCUGGCGGCGUGCUUAACACAUGCAAGUCGAACGGAAAGGCCCUGCUUUUGUGGGGUGCUCGAGUGGCGAAAGGGUGAGUAACACGUGAGUAACCUGCCCUUGACUUUGGGAUAACUUCAGGAAACUGGGGCUAAUACCGGAUAGGAGCUCCUGCUGCAUGGUGGGGGUUGGACAGUUUCGGCGGUUGGGGAUGGACUCGCGGCUUAUCAGCUUGUUGGUGGGGUAGUGGCUUACCAAGGCUUUGACGGGUAGCCGGCCUGAGAGGGUGACCGGCCACAUUGGGACUGAGAUACGGCCCAGACUCCUACGGGAGGCAGCAGUGGGGAAUAUUGCACAAUGGGCGGAAGCCUGAUGCAGCAACGCCGCGUGCGGGAUGACGGCCUUCGGGUUGUAAACCGCUUUCGCCUGUGACGAAGCGUGAGUGACGGUAAUGGGUAAAGAAGCACCGGCUAACUACGUG
rnacentral:rRNA from 1 species